rnacentral:lncRNA from 1 species
AGAAAGAAGGCAGCCUUGCUGCUGGUUGUUGCUGCUGCUCCUGCUUUUUUAAUGGACUGUUUCUCCCAUGCAGUGACCCUCUGCCAUGCUGCCCUGCCUUAGAGCCAUCCACCUAUGUACUGACUCCUCUACAAACUUGACCCUCUGCCAUGCUGCCCUGCCUUAGAGCCAUGCAUCUAUGUACUGACUCCUCUACAAACUGUGAGCUGAACUAAACCUUUCCUCCCUCAACUGGUGGAUGUCAAGUAUUUUGUUUCUGCAAUGAGAAAAGUUCCAUGGAAACAUACUACUGUAAAAGUCCAUCAUGACACGGGAACUUGCUCCAUGCUGUAGUGACAAGGCACAAUUCUUCAGCUCUCAGGAUGAUGACUGUACCAUGUAAAGAGGAACCUAGCACAGUGAUGGCCCCACGUCACAUGCCCUGGGGCACUCAGCCUCUGAUGGAAAUCUCUGGUCACCCCCCCCCCCCCCACCACCCCGCACCCCACCCCAGGUCAGGACUCUCAUCAUGGCCGUAGGUUUCUGCAGGUCUCUUCUGCUCCUCCCUGGAUAGGGACUGCAUGGGUGGGAGAGACAUGGUGCGUCGUCAUUAACACUCAAAGCUAUUUUGAUUUGGUUACAAGAUUUACAACUCCUCUGAAUCCAAAAAGGACUAGAAGCUUGCAUUACCAAUUUAUACAUAUAGAAGAACAAAUAAAAUUUAAAUUAAGCCUGAGCAAUAAUGACAAAAGACAGAAGGAUCAAUUGUUCAUUUGACUAAGAUACUAAGAUAGCCAGGCAUGGUGGCACAUACCUGUUAUCCCAGCCUCCAGGAGGCUGAUGCAGGAGAAUUAUCAUUUGAGGCCAGCCUAACCUACAUAGUGAGACCCCGUCUCAAAAAACAAAAACAAAAACACACAUAAUUUCGAGCUCCUGGUCCCAAGCCCAAGGCACAAGAAACUGUAUCAUGCUGUUCUAUUGUCUCACAGAGGUUGGGAUUCUCAGGUAGACGGGACAGAGUGCUCUGUUUGAGCAGGAAGGAUUCCCUUAGAUCCCUGGGAAGGGGCCUCCUGCUGCAGAGUAAGCAGUGGUGCAGAGGAGAGGCCUUCUAGAAGGAUUCAGCGGCCACUCUGCCUCCAGGUUUCUUAUUUACAUAUCUCUUCUUCCCCACUCCCAGGGCCCCGACUUGGUGUUUACCAGUGAAUUCAUUGUGAAAGUGCAGCUCCAGUCACCUCUGGAACCUGCAGAUGGCAUAAUUAGGGAGCAGGGCACUGAUGGUGUUAGUGGACAGCACUGAGCGAGGUCACGCUUGUGUGCAUCAUUACCCCCACUGUGUCUGCACCCCUCCUCAUGAU